GAUGAACGCUGGCGGCGUGCCUAAUACAUGCAAGUCGAGCGAACAGACGAGGAGCUUGCUCCUCUGACGUUACCGACGGACGGGUGAGUAACACGUGGAUAACCUACCUAUAAGACUGGGAUAACUUCGGGAAACCGGAGUACAUACCGGAUAAUAUAUUGAACCGCAUGGUUCAAUAGUGAAAGACGGUUUUGAUGUCCCUUAUAGAUAGCUCCGCGCCGGAUUAGCUAGUUGGUAAGGUAACGGCUUACCAAGGCAACGAUGCCUAGCCGACCUGAGAGGGUGAUGGGCCACACUGGAACUGAGACACGGUCCAGACUCCGACGGGAGGCAGAAGUAGGGAAGCUUCGGAGAUGGGCGAAAGCCUGACGGAGCAGCGCCGCGUGAGUGAUGAAGGUCUUCGGAUCGUAAAACUCUGUUAUUAGGGAAGAACAAAUGUGUAAGUAACUAUGCACGUCUUGACGGUACCUAAUCAGAAAGCCACGGCUAACUACGUG
rnacentral:rRNA from 1 species